GGAGUGCUUGAUGGCUGCUGACCUUGAACAGGGAUGUGAAAUGGCAAAUAUUUAUUCACAUAGCAGCCGCUCUGCCUCUCUCCAGCUCGGCGCAGAGCAUUCCAUUGCUACACACCCAAGGGUUGGUACAGCCCUGGAGACCUCUCCACCCCCAGAACCACCUCUGCUGGCUCAUUGGAAGUCCCAGGGCCUCUUGGACCAGCUGGGAGGAGAUCCCCAGCUGUGUCAUUGCUACCUCCACCAAUCAGGGUGCACACUGGCUAAGGCCUGUCUCCCCAACCAGUCAGAGACCUGGAAAAUGCUGAUUGACUUCUGAGCACUGAUUAAUCAGGGGAAAGGGAGGGAGGUUCAAAACAGAGCAAUGUUAAUGCAUGAAAACUCUUGUGUAUAAAAAUGUCUGCUUUAUGAUUACGCUUUGCACUUGUACCCUUCAAGCACCUGUUGCUGUACAAGUGUCUCUUCUGCGCAGAUUGAAUAAAUGCCUCCAUUUUUUCCUUCAA